UCUUUACAGCAGUGCAAGAAUGGACUAAAAGAGACCAAAUGUGGUCUUCUUUCCCACAAAAUCAAAUAUAAGCACAGUGUCAAUUUUCCUAAUCACCAACACUGUGUGAUGAGGGAUGCUCAGAGAAUAGUAGAGCAUUAAAUCCACCCCAGGUGAGAGAAUUGAAACUAAGAGAUGAUGCCCUGAUUUACCCACUGAGUUCAUGGGUCUAGAAGGCUAACUGUGUCCUUUUGAAAAUACUGAUGCUGGAGUUGAUUCCAAUUGCAAACGCAGGAAAGCCACAAUGCCUGAUUGCCAGUAGUCUUUAUUCUUCACUCCAUUAAUGAAAUCUGUAUUUCUAGAAUGUCAGAAGAGUUGAACCCUCCUUAUAUUUGCCAAAUAAAUUUUAAUACAUUAAAAUAAUUAUAUAGACUAGCAUAUUGUUUUUAUGCUAAUCUCUUCUUUCUUCAUAUUCACAAGUUACAUUCAUUCUCAAGCAUAUGAAAAUCUGAAUCAUUGGUGCGUUUAUUUCAAAAUGAAACUUUCUUAUGCGCUCAGGGUAUGUGUACAAAUCAGAUCAGAUCUCACAUUUUGUUUUGAAACCAGCUCUAUCCUUAUGCUCUGCCAGCAUUAGCAGUGAGUGGUUGCAUAGGCUUUCAAUGAUGUGAAAGCAGCGUGGUGAGAUUGAAGUCGUAGUGGUGACAAGAUCAAUUAGAAAGGCACCAUUGCAUCUUUGUUCUAGACACAAUAUAUCUUCCAAAGUAAUCCCAUACUGCAAAGGCAUCACGAAGUCUUUGUCCACUUAUUCAGAAAGGCAACAUGGCUCAGUGGUUUGAAAUAACAGGCUUGAAGAUCAAGGACUGUGAGUUCGAAUGUUAUAUUUAAAAAGGAGAGCAAAAAGUGUUGCUUGGGCUUUUUAGAUACCUUUAAAACGCUUCUUUAAUAUUGGGUUCCAUUUAUUCUUUCCUUUUUUGUUAUUGCUCAGGUGGCAUUUAUCAUUGGGUCAUGGAUACAAAAGUAAAAGUCAGGGCUGUCCCAAUGACUAAAAGACACCAUACGAGUAUACAGAGAUGGAAUUUGCAGAAGCAUUGGCCUCCUUCUUGUUUGAUUAGCACCUGGAAGAUUUUUAAAAUAGUUGAAAAGGAUGGCAAUUUCCAAACAGUCAGAUGCACCUGUUCUACUGAGAAAUAUUUGCAAGACGGAGGAAGACAAAAAGACCUAGAGGAUACUGAAGCUUUUCCCCCACCUAAACGAUGUCCACAGAUAUAACUUUUUGGGUGCUCACAAUUUUAUAAUCCAGUUAAGUAUGCUCUAAUCACAUUUGGAAUGGGUGAAAGGUAUGGUUUCCUUUUGAAGAGAAGAAAGGUUAUGGUGAACUCAGUUGAACACAGAUUGCGAACAUUUCCAGGCAGUUUUACGAAAGGAUAUUGGUUUAUUAACUAAUGAGGUCAUUCUGCCACUUGCCAAGUCUGUCUCUCCUAAUGGCAUAUGCAAAAAUGGGAAAUGAAAUCCAGAUACAUGUGUGGACCCACUGGAUACACCAGGCAACAGAGUCAGGCCAGAAAUCUAUUUAUUACCCAGCUCUGCUACGUCCCCACUGUGACUGCUGGAUUUCAAGGCAACUUGACUCCCUCAAGAUUUGUGUCGGCUCAGAAUCAGGAUUCCGUCAUCACAAAUAGCCUACCUCCUUUUCUGAAAGGCACAGUUUCUCUACCUGAUGACUCCAGCUCCCUUUGAGAAAGGAAAGAAGGAGGAUUAAGAGUACACAUUCAUGACAGCAUAGCAGGGUAUUUCCCCAAGAGAACCCACUAUCAUUCCAUCCUGCAGAGGGUGUCUCCAAGGUGAUGAUGCUUCCCUCACCAAAAUACUCCUUCAUGCUUCUUUGAAAAGAAUGUCCUCUGAGCUCUCCUAGGACACACAAUGAGGAGAUGGGUGAGUCACUCACACAUUAUAAAUCUACUCCAACAUUCCUGUUCCCCUAAGCCUUCAGAUUUAUCCUUCUACAUUAUAACAAGUAAAAGCUGACAUCUCAGCUUCCUUUGAUGUAGACUAAUAUGGAGUCCAGCUUUCGUGAGCAAAUUAUGCAACAUUUCCCAUUUGCUCAAGCUAACAUAUGGAAUUCAGAAUCUCUCAUGAGUACACCCAUAUUGAUACAUUUGGCCAUUCCAAAGUUAUUUUCCUUCCACAAUGGACAAAUAUACUUAUAUUCCAUUUCUGCUCAUAUAUCUUAAUUUCUGCUGGUAUAAGCUAACUACAUUUUGCAAUUAUUUCAGAGUAUAAACUGACCCCUCUCAUGUCAGACUUAGUACUCAUUUCCCUUGAUUAGGUUGGACCAGAUGGUACUAUGGGUCUGGAGAAUGGGUGGAUCUUUUGCAAAUAAGCAUCGCUUGUAAUGUAAGGUUAUUACAGUAUACUCAAGCUAGGAGAAGCUAGCUUCCUCAGAGAGGGAUUGAGGAGAAGUAUUUGCUAGUGAGGAAGUCUUAAAGAAAUUUAUGGGGAGGUUCAGAUACUCAGAUUCAUCUGAAUCCACCCAAAUUUUUUCAUUCCAAUUCUCAGGGAAUCAUUCAUUUUCUAUUAAUGACCUAACACUCGCAUAAGAAAUUGACAAGGAUGAGAAAUCAAAUUGAUUCAUAAAAUAAACAUAUUAUUUUAUGGUAAUCACAGAAUUCCCUUUCUUAUCUGCUCAUAACUGUACUGGAGGUAUGUAUUUGUAUUCUACCACUUCUCUAAUGUAAUCAGAAUAGGUAACAUGCUCCAUAGUGCCAAUAGCAAUAUUCCCACCAUGAGUCUUUUGAAGAAGCUACUUGGUUUCCUGGUUUCCCAAAGUUUUCUAUUUGACAGCCACAUAAUUCCAGGGACCAUUUGGGGCUUAAGACUUACCAAAAAAAAGUUCUCAUUGUGGAUACUAUGGUAGGUAUUAGUGAAUAAUGAAAGUAUUUUAAGUAAAUGCCGGUAUUCAAUUCAUCAUCUCUACCCAGAAGUGACAUAUCUCAGUGUGUUGAGUUUUGUAGGCAAUUUAUCUUUUGACUUAGAUACUCUGCUUACAAUCAGAAUUUUACCACCAGGAAGUGAGGCUUUGGCUUUGAAGAGGCACAAUGUAAAGUGUUUGACUAAGUGUGAAUAUCAGAGAAAGCCCAAAUUUCUUGUACACUGAUUAUAAUGCAUUAAUUAAAAUGUACUGUCAUUUAAAAAGCAAAGUCACAGUUGCAAGGCAGAAAAUGGGAGGUUAAGCAAAUACAAUUUGUGUCUUUAUUACCAUCCUCUA
rnacentral:lncRNA from 1 species